rnacentral:rRNA from 1 species
UGGGGAAUAUUGGACAAUGGGGGCAACCCUGAUCCAGCCAUGCCGCGUGUGUGAAGAAGGCCUUCGGGUUGUAAAGCACUUUCAGCAGGGAGGAAGGCCAUACGGUUAAUACCCGUAUGGAUUGACGUUACCUGCAGAAGAAGCACCGGCUAACUCCGUGCCAGCAGCCGCGGUAAUACGGAGGGUGCGAGCGUUAAUCGGAAUAACUGGGCGUAAAGCGCGCGUAGGUGGUUCAGUCAGUCAGAUGUGAAAGCCCCGGGCUCAACCUGGGAACUGCACCUGAUACUGCUGAGCUAGAGUACGGUAGAGGGAAGUGGAAUUUCCGGUGUAGCGGUGAAAUGCGUAGAGAUCGGAAGGAACACCAGUGGCGAAGGCGACUUCCUGGACUGAUACUGACACUGAGGUGCGAAAGCGUGGGGAGCAA